AGAUUAAGUUAUUAAGGGCGCACGGUGGAUGCCUUGGCACUAGAAGCCGAUGAAGGACGUUACUAACGACGAUAUGCUUUGGGGAGCUGUAAGUAAGCUUUGAUCCAGAGAUUUCCGAAUGGGGAAACCCAGCACGAGUUAUGUCGUGUUAUCUGCAUGUGAAUACAUAGCAUGCAAGAAGGCAGACCCGGAGAACUGAAACAUCUUAGUACCCGGAGGAAGAGAAAGAAAAAUCGAUUCCCUGAGUAGCGGCGAGCGAAACGGGAAGAGCCCAAACCAAUAAGCUUGCUUAUUGGGGUUGUAGGACACUCUGUACGGAGUUACAAAAGAAUUGGUUAGACGAAUAACCUGGAAAGGUUAAUCAGAGAAGGUAAUAAUCCUGUAGUCGAAAACGAAUUCUCUCUUGAGUGGAUCCUGAGUACGACGGAGCACGUGAAAUUCCGUCGGAAUCUGGGAGGACCAUCUCCUAAGGCUAAAUACUCUCUAGUGACCGAUAGUGAACCAGUACCGUGAGGGAAAGGUGAAAAGUACCCCGGAAGGGGAGUGAAAGAGAACUUGAAACCGUGUGCUUACAAGUAGUCAGAGCCCGUUAAUGGGUGAUGGCGUGCCUUUUGUAGAAUGAACCGGCGAGUUACGAUCUGAUGCAAGGUUAAGCAGAAAAUGUGGAGCCGUAGCGAAAGCGAGUCUGAAUAGGGCGAAUGAGUAUUUGGUCGUAGACCCGAAACCAGGUGAUCUACCCUUGGUCAGGUUGAAGUUCAGGUAACACUGAAUGGAGGACCGAACCGACUUACGUUGAAAAGUGAGCGGAUG
rnacentral:rRNA from 1 species